rnacentral:rRNA from 1 species
CGCAACCCUUGUUAUUAGUUGCCAGCAUUUAGUUGGGCACUCUAAUGAGACUGCCGGUGAUAAACCGGAGGAAGGUGGGGACGACGUCAGAUCAUCAUGCCCCUUAUGACCUGGGCAACACACGUGCUACAAUGGGAAGUACAACGAGUCGCAAACCGGCGACGGCAAGCUAAUCUCUUAAAACUUCUCUCAGUUCGGACUGGAGUCUGCAACUCGACUCCACGAAGGCGGAAUCGCUAGUAAUCGCGAAUCAGCAUGUCGCGGUGAAUACGUUCCCGGGUCUUGUACACACCGCCCGUCAAAUCAUGGGAGUCGGAAGUACCCAAAGUCGCUUGGCUAACUUUUAGAGGCCGGUGCCUAAGGUAAAAUCGAUGACUGGGAUUAAGUCGUAACAAGGUAGCCGUAGGAGAACCUGCGGCUGGAUCACCUCCUUUCUAAGGA